rnacentral:rRNA from 1 species
CCUACGGGUGGCAGCAGUGAGGAAUAUUGGUCAAUGGACGAGAGUCUGAACCAGCCAAGUAGCGUGAAGGAUGACUGCCCUAUGGGUUGUAAACUUCUUUUAUAAAGGAAUAAAACGAGGCACGUGUGCCUUUUUGCAUGUACUUCAUGAAUAAGGACCGGCUAACUCCGUGCCAGCAGCCGCGGUAAUACGGAGGGUCCGGGCGUUAUCCGGAUUUAUUGGGUUUAAAGGGAGCGUAGGUGGGUGGUUAAGUCUGAUGUGAAAGUUUGGGGCUCAACCUUAAAAUUGCAAUUGAUACUGGCGAGCUUGAGUACGGGUGAGGGAGGCGGAAUUCGUGGUGUAGCGGUGAAAUGCUUAGAGAUCACGAAGAACCCCGAUUGCGAAGGCAGCUUACUGAACUGUGACUGACAUUGAUGCGCGAAAGUGUGGGUAUCAAACAGGAUUAGAUACCCCUGUAGUC